AUUGAACGCUGGCGGCAGGCCUAACACAUGCAAGUCGAACGAGUGGCGGACGGGUGGGUAAUGUCUGGGAAACUGCCUGAUGGAGGGGGAUAACUACUGGAAACGGUAGCUAAUAACGAAUAGCGUAAGAGGUGCCCAGAUGGGAUUAGCUUGUUGGUGGGGUAACGGCACACCAAGGCGACGUUCCCUAGCUGGUCUGAGAGGAUGACCAGCCACACUGGAACUGAGCCACGGUCCAGACUCCUACGGGAGGCAGCAGUGGGGAAUAUUGCACAAUGGUCGCAAGCCUGAUGCAGCCAUGCCGCGUGUAUGAAGAAGGCCUUCGGGUUGUAAAGGACUUUCGGCGGGGAGGCGUUACCCGCAGAAGAAGCACCGGCUAACUCCGUGCCAGCAGCCGCGGUAAUAC
rnacentral:rRNA from 1 species